GCCUUUCUGGGUCCUCCUCUCCUAGGGUGAGGCUGGAGAGGGAGUGGGUGUGGGGGGAGGUGGAAGGCAGCGAUGAGCCUGGAACUGGAUGAAGAGUCUCUGCCCCUCGCUCAGGGCCUGAGGAGGCCUUGUGACAUGCUGUAGCCAAUCAGAUGGCACUGGAGCAGCACUGUGCGUUGUCAAGCCUGGGGCUCAGGAGAUCUUGGAUGCCUCCCCUCUUUCUCUUAACAAGCCUGGACUGCCAGUUGGAGGAUGAAAGACCCACGGCCCAAUAGCCCUCUGUCACCCCAGCUGACACGCAGGCUCCAGAGCAGAACCCUACUGGCCCAAACACACAGAUGAGGAAAUGGAGGCACAGAGAGGCCACACUGCAAGCAAGUAGAGAGAAGACCCAAUCCCAAAUGUGAUUCCCUUCCUCCAACCCCGCUUCUGUCCCCAUCUGGCAGCAGCCUGAGCAUACCUGCUGUCUUCGCUGGUGACCAGGACACGCACAGCCAGCACAUCCUGUCCAGCUGCUUCCUCCCCAGGGCUGAUCCUCACUGAGGUCCACUCGGAGGGCAGGGGAGAGGCAGCGUCCCCUUCCGCAUCACUGUGCUGUGGCUCAGAGAUGCUCUUCGGCCUCUUGGGGGAGGUGGGCUCAUCUGCUGAGAGGAGAGCAGGGUCUAGAGAGAUGGUGCAAAUGAAUGGCCUAGCAGGACCCUUCCAGGGGCUCAGGGCCCCUCUAGGCCUGGGGUCUACUCAGAUACUCCAAAGCUGACCUUCUUGUCCUCCGUGCCACCUCUGGAACCCUCACCCCCGAGCCUGCCAGAUGCCCAGGCAUUUAGGGCAUAUUUCCCACAUGUAGGGCGUGAAUGCACAGAUCAUCCCAUUUAGUCCACAGGGAAGGUUCUGAAACAUUCAGAGGGGCCAUUCCAGGCUAACCAGCCUCUGAACUGCUGCUGUCAAGACGGCAACAUCCAACAUGUUGCUAAAUCCAGUGGUAACAUCUCAGUUCUCAUCUUAUUCGACUAUUCUACACACCAGCAGCAUUUGACCCAGCUGGUCACUCCGUCCUAGAAACAGCUCUCUCAGCUUCUAGGAUGGCAAGGCCUGCCCAAUCCCCAGCCCCUUCUUCACUGGCUAUCUCCUUCAUUUCCUCUCCUGGCUCCACCUUCUCCCCUUGACCUUGUAACACUGAAAGAUCCCGGGACUCAGUCUCUGAACCUCUUUUCUUCUCUGUCUACACUCAUGCUCUUGAUGCCCUCAUCUGGUCUCAUGGCUUUAAAUAACCCCAGGCAACAAUGACCCCCAGAUUUCUAUCUCCAGCCUGGACAUUCCUGAUUCUAGACUUAUAUAGACCACUGCUCACUUGCAUCUCCGUCUACGUGUCUAACAGACACAUCAGACUCAACAAGUCCGAACAGAGUUCUUCAUCUUCUCCACCCACCCAACAUGUCUUGCCCAUAGCCUUCCCCCUCUCAGUAAAUGGCAACUUCAGCUUCCUGUUGCUCCAGCCAACACCUCGCCAGCAUCUUUGACUGCUCUUGUCCUUUCGUUCUUCAUUCAAGUCAUCGGCAAAUCCUGGUGGGUCUGCCUUCAAAACACGUCGGGAAUCCAGACCCCUCUCACCGCCUCUCUGCUUCCCACUCCUGGUCCAGCCACCAUUGUCUUUUGCUUGGAUCAUAGAAACUGCCUCUGCCUGGCCUCCGUCCCUGCCUCUUGCUGUGCCCCACCCCCACAGUCUAUUCUCAACACAGCAGCCAGGGUGACUCAGUUAAAACCUGAGUGAGAUCAUGCCACUCCUCUGCUUAAAAUCACCCAGUGGCCCCUCAUUUACUCAGGGUGAAAGCUGAAGGCCCUACCGAGGCCUGCAAAGUCCAAGAUAACGUAGUCCCCAGUGCGUCCCGUGACCUUGUCUCCUAGCACUGGCCCCAGGCUUGCCCUGUCCUCACCAUGGCACCUCCGUGAUGCUCCUCCAGCACUCUGGGCACACGUCCUUCUCAGACCCCUUGCACUGCUCUUGCUUCUGCCUGGAAGGUGUUAUCCCCAGACGUUUCCAUGCAGGCCUCAUUCACUCACUGGCUGUCUUCAAGUCCUUGGUGGAACGUCACCUGCCCUGACCAUCCUAUUUAAUAUUGCAGCCCAUGCCUCAGUGCUCUCCAUUCCCCUUGAUUUUCAUUCAUAGUGUGUCUCACCCUCCAAUAAACUAUACAAUUUCCUUUUUUCAUUUUGUUUAUUGUCUCUUUCUUCUAUGACUAGAAUGUAAGCAGUGAUUUUUGUCUGUUUCAUUUGUUGCUAGGGUGGUACCUGGUGAACGGUAGGCGUUCAGUGAGUGUCUGCUGAAUGAGUUCAUGAGUGAAUGCGCCCAGCUCUGUCUUGGCCACUAACUAGCUAGGUGACCUCAUCUCCAGGGACAGUGUCCAGAGAACAGGUGUCAUUUUUCCUCUUCAAGAUGGAGCCUUCACCUGAACUUGGCUCCCUCUCACUUCCCUCCUCCCUCUCCACAGUGUCAUUCUUGUGUCCUCAUUUGUCUACUGAAUCUUUCCUGUCUAUAUUUAAAUAUGCUGAAAGUCUCCUGUCUUAAGAAAACUUGUUUUAAUCCCAGUCCUCACCCCCAGCCCCCAGCCUACUCUUUCUUCUUCCUUCUUAGCCAAGCUUCCUGGAAGGGUUGGCUACACUCUUCUCUCUCUCCUCUUCUUUAUGAACCCUCUAUUCCUAUAAUCCUGCCUGUGCCUCCACCACUCCCAAACUACCCCCAGCACAGUCCACAGUGACCUCCUUGUUUCUAAGUCCAAUUCACAGGACUUUGGGAGUCCUCCUGCGGUCCUUGAGCCUGCCCUGUCCCUGCUCCUGGGGACACCUUCUCUCCCUGCCCCUGUGGCUGGCCGUCUCAGCUAUCCAGUAUUCCAGCCAACCCUUAAACACCUGGGUUCUCCAUGCAUCCACCUGAGCCCUCUCAUCUUUUUACCCAUGUGUUCUCUCUGGGAGAUACAAUCUCUUCCCAAACUGUAUUUAUCACCUGUGAAGAUGACUGAAGAAAUUUUGAUUUUUAUGUGAAAUACCUCAUCUUAAAAUAUCAGACACAUCAAAAAAAAAAAAAAAACAUGUCUGCAGCAGACUGAGCAAGUGGGUUGCUAGUUUGUAGCCCCUGGUGCGUGUGGAUGCUUGCUGUGUGCACGUGUCUACACUUCUAAGUUAGUGUAACUGGGGAUGGAAGGCAUUUGAGGAAUGUAGUCAGAUGCUUCACUACAUAAUAAUAAUGACAUGGCGAUGGUGGUGGUGGUGGCAGCAUUAGUCAUAAUAAAAGCAGUAGCAGCUUACUUUUAUUGGGUGCUCAAUAUAUACCAAUAAUUGUUUGAGCAUUUGACAUGUAUUAAGUCUAUUAAAUCUCACCCGAUCCUCUCAGAAAAGCGUUGUUAUUACCCCCAUUUUCCUGCUGAGAAAACUCAAGCACAGAGAGGUUACGACACCAGCACAAGGUCAUGUAUUCUGUCAGAGGACGGGGAUCAGUCUGCGUGUCUGUGAGCACAACAGAACCAUGAAUGGACACUGUUGCGCAUGACCUUUGUGCUGGGAGUUUUGGCUGGAAAGUGCCCCCAGUUCUUUUCUCCCUCCCUAUACUAGAGUUGCGCUUUACGCU
rnacentral:lncRNA from 1 species